rnacentral:rRNA from 1 species
UACGUAGGGUGCAAGCAUUGUCCGGAAUUAUUGGGCGUAAAGAGCUCGUAGGCGGUUUGUCGCGUCUGCCGUGAAAGUCCGGGGCUCAACUCCGGAUCUGCGGUGGGUACGGGCAGACUAGAGUGAUGUAGGGGAGACUGGAAUUCCUGGUGUAGCGGUGGAAUGCGCAGAUAUCAGGAGGAACACCGAUGGCGAAGGCAGUUCUCUGGGCGUAACCUGACGCUGAGGAGCGAAAGCGUGGGGAGCGAA